UACAAUAUAAGAAAAGUACAUCUUUUUCCUUCAACUGUUCUGCAGCCGACACAUGGAUUCUUGAGUGAACACCACAACCUACUACCUGGCUUCUUCACAACACACUUCUAUUUUUUCCCAAUUUUUCCUCAUUUAUUUUUUCCAUUUCCUUUCUUCUGUGGCAGUUAUCCAAUGCAAUUGAAUGGUUUUAGAAACGUUUUACUCUCCUUAUUCCACAUUCAGAAACAAUUUCAUCACCCCAUUAAUCUUGCAACCUCCCUUCCAGUAAUCAUGUGUGUGAUGUAUUAUAAACGCACAUCCUUUCAACUUCCAUCUCAUAUUCCUCACACACAAUCAUCGAUCAACUUUUUUAUUCUAACCAUUCCCACGACAAUUACAUGGCCAUACCCGCGGAAGAAACUCUGCGAUGUUACCGGCAGAUCUGACGUUUUCAUCGGUUCAUUAUCAACAUCAAGACGCUCAGAAACCACAGAAAAUCCAUAA